ensembl:miRNA Mir3073a microRNA 3073a
GCUGUUCCUGCCCAGUGGUCACAGUUGGCGCCAGCCCUAGAGUCUAGAUGGGUUGAUGUCCACUGUGACCAUAGUGCAGGCCAGC